rnacentral:rRNA from 1 species
GAAGUGGCAAACGGGGUAUGUUAACAGGUAGGUACAUACCAUUGAGUCAGGAAUAACUGCAGGAAACUGUAGCUAAUACCUGAUAGUUCUCUAAGGAGUAAAGAUUUAUCGCUCAAUGAUUGGCCUGCUCGGUAUCAGUUAGUUGGUAGUGUAAUAGACUACCAAGGCAGUGACGCCUAGGGGAGGUGAGAGCCUGACCCCCACCAUUGGAACUGCGACACGGUCCAAACUCCUACGGGAGGCUGCAGUCGAGAAUCUUCCGCAAUGCACGAAAGUGUGACGGAGCGACGCCGCGUGAUGGAUGAAGUCCCUCGGGAUGUAAACAUCUUUUAUACGUGAAGAAGUAUAUUGACAUUAGCGUAUGAAUAAGAGGUUCCUAAACUCGUGCCAGCAGGAGCGGUAAUACGAGUACCUCAAGCGUUAUCCGGAAUUAUUGGGCGUAAAGGGUCCGUAGGUGGUCAUAUUAGUCAGAGGUGAAAGAUCCGAGCUCAACUCGGGGGCCGCCUUUGAAACGGUAUGACUUGAGUGUGCGAGAGGCAAGCAGAACUCAUGGUGUAGGGGUGAAAUCCGUUGAUAUCAUGGGGAAUACCAAAAGCGAAGGCAGCUUGCUGGCGCAUUACUGACACUAAGGGACGAAACCCUGGGGUAGCGAAUGGGAUUAGAU